GGGAUUAACAUCAAUAAGGUGGAGAUCGAAGAGAAUAAAAAGAUGGGAGUGCAAAUGAUAUUACACAACAAUACAUGAACUAGAUUUCAACUCAUCUAGCCUAGUGAUAUCUAGUAAUAAGCUUAGACUUGCAGAUGAAUCUGCAAGCAUAUUUACUCAACGAAAAGGAGACAGAAAAACUAAAACAUGUAGUCUAAUGUAAUCCGUUGUAGCGUAGACCAAAAUUUUGCAGAACCUCGUCUACAUAGGGAGAUCAGGGUCCAAACGUCUUUGAAUAGCAGCUGCAGCCUCAAAGUUACCAAGCUUGUAUUGAUAAGCCAUCUCUUCUCUUAAUUGAGCUUGUUCUUUCAUUGCUUGCGCCAUUCCACUCUGCAUCUCGCGCUUCAAUGUUUCCACCUGUUCUUGCUUGUGCUUCUCACGCUCUCGCAUCAGUUCUUGCCUGCGCUGUUCUUCAUCAUCGAAGACAGUACGUUCAUCGUCCACGACCUUCUUGACACCUCUUCUACUUUCCUUUUCCAUUUUACGUCUGUAAUAGGCGUCAAGGUUAUAAUAUUUUUUAGAAGGGAAGGUUGCAGUGUUAUGAUCCUCCAUGAAUUGCUUGAACAAUUGCUUCUCUUCCCAAUUUGGCAGGCUUUCCAGAUUCACCUUCUUUAUUUCUGCCAACCAUGCGGUAAACUCUGGCCGUUUGUUCCACAUAUCAGUUUCCUUGAUGAUUCCAUAUUUUCCCCAAGAGUUUGUAACAGCACCAGUUUUCCCCUUCUCUUUCUUUUUCUUCUUCCUCUCUUUCUUCUCUUUCUCCUUCUUCCUCCUCUUCUUCUUCUGUUCUUACU
rnacentral:misc_RNA from 1 species